UUGUACUGCAGUCGAGCGACAGAUAGGAGCUUGCUCCUUUGACGUUAGCGGCGGACGGGUGAGUAACACGUGGAUAACCUACCUAUAAGACUGGGAUAACUUCGGGAAACCGGAGCUAAUACCGGAUAACAUAUUGAACCGCAUGGUUCAAUAGUGAAAGGCGGCUUUGCUGUCACUUAUAGAUGGAUCCGCGCCGUAUUAGCUAGUUGGUAAGGUAACGGCUUACCAAGGCAACGAUACGUAGCCGACCUGAGAGGGUGAUCGGCCACACUGGAACUGAGACACGGUCCAGACUCCUACGGGAGGCAGCAGUAGGGAAUCUUCCGCAAUGGGCGAAAGCCUGACGGAGCAACGCCGCGUGAGUGAUGAAGGUCUUCGGAUCGUAAAACUCUGUUAUCAGGGAAGAACAAAUGUGUAAGUAACUGUGCACAUCUUGACGGUACCUGAUCAGAAAGCCACGGCUAACUACGUGCCAGCAGCCGCGGUAAUACGUAGGUGGCAAGCGUUAUCCGGAAUUAUUGGGCGUAAAGCGCGCGUAGGCGGUUUUUUAAGUCUGAUGUGAAAGCCCACGGCUCAACCGUGGAGGGUCAUUGGAAACUGGAAAACUUGAGUGCAGAAGAGGAAAGUGGAAUUCCAUGUGUAGCGGUGAAAUGCGCAGAGAUAUGGAGGAACACCAGUGGCGAAGGCGACUUUCUGGUCUGUAACUGACGCUGAUGUGCGAAAGCGUGGGGAUCAAACAGGAUUAGAUACCCCUGGUAGUCCACGCCGUAAACGAUGAGUGCUAAGUGUUAAGGGGGUUUCCGCCCCUUAGUGCUGCAGCUAACGCAUUAAGCACUCCGCCCGGGGGAGUACGACCCGCAAGGUUGAAACUCAAAGGAAUUGACGGGGACCCGCACAAACGGUGGAGCAUGUGGUUUAAUUCCAAAGCAACGCCAAAAAACCU
rnacentral:rRNA from 1 species